CAAUAGCGUAUAUUAAAGUUGUUGCAGUUAAAAAGCUCGUAGUUGGAUUUCUGGUGGGAGCGAUCGGUCUGGCGCUUAGCGCGAGUACUUGCAUCGUCUCCGGCCAUCCUUGGGGAGAGUCUGUCUGGCAUUAGGUUGUCGGGCAGAGGAUCCUCAUCGUUUACUGUGAAAAAAUUAGAGUGUUCAAAGCAGGCUUAUGCCGUUGAAUAUAUUAGCAUGGAAUAAUAAGAUAGGACCUUGGUACUAUUUUGUUGGUUUGCGCACCGAGGUAAUGAUUAAUAGGGACAGUUGGGGGUAUUCGUAUUGCAUUGUCAGAGGUGAAAUUCUUGGAUUUUUGCAAGACGAACGACUGCGAAAGCAUUUACCAAGGAUGUUUUCAUUAA
rnacentral:rRNA from 1 species